ACGUAAUAGAUACCCGGGUAGUCCAUGCCGUAAACGUUGGGCACUAGGUGUGGGGGACAUUCCACGUUUUCCGCGCCGUAGCUAAACGCAUUAAAGUGCCCCGCCUGGGGAGUACGGCCGCAAGGCUAAAACUCAAAGGAAUUGACGGGGGCCCGCACAAGCGGCGGAGCAUGCGGAUUAAUUCGAUGCAACGCGAAGAACCUUACCAAGGCUUGACAUGAACCAGACCGGGCUGGAAACAGUCCUUCCCCUUGUGGGUUGGUUUACAGGUGGUGCAUGGUUGUCGUCAGCUCGUGUCGUGAGAUGUUGGGUUAAGUCCCGCAACGAGCGCAACCCUCGUUCUAUGUUGCCAGCACGUGAUGGUGGGGGACUCAUAGGAGACUGCCGGGGUCAACUCGGAGGAAGGUGGGGACGACGUCAAAUCAUCAUGCCCCUUAUGUCUUGGGCUUCACGCAUGCUACAAUGGCCGGUACAAAGGGUUGCGAUACUGUGAGGUGGAGCUAAUCCCAAAAAGCCGGUCUCAGUUCGGAUUGGGGUCUGCAACUCGA
rnacentral:rRNA from 1 species